UGCUGAUCUGCGGAUUAUUUUCUUCUUCACAUCACUUUGUUUCGUGACAUGCCAUGACGUUCAAAAUGCGCGGGGGCGAUUUAUAUAUGAAUUAGUCAUCACUUUAUAUUAUAUAUAUUUUUUCAACAAAUUCACCAGCAAAUGAAUGAGACUGAAUCCGAUGGACGAUUAGAUUCAAAGACACGUUAGUACGAAUGAUUAUAUUCGGUCAAGUGAUGAAUCGUGACCUAGAAUUCGUGAACUACAUAACGAGGUACUUAUAUAAAUAAAUGAUGACGAUUAAUUUUUGUCACUUAUAAUCUGAUCGAGUAACGAGUGGAUUUUUUAAUUAUAAACUUCAUCUGUUAUUGAAAGUAAAAACUAUUUUUUAAAUUAAUAUUAAUAAAAAAAAUCAACAUGUGUAAAAUCGAAAUCAUGUGCUUGUCAUAUUUAUUUUUGCUAAUUUUUGUUGUUAAUUCUAUUGAGGCCGCAGAAAUAAAUGAUAAUUAUAUGUUUUAUCAGCGUUAUAACUUCGGUCUGGGUAAAAGAUCUGCUGAAUAUGAUGUUUUCAAGAAAUAAAUCUCUCGCCUGAUGUUCGAAAAAUACUGGCUGAAAAAAAUAUUGAAAAACUAUAACACGUUAUUUUAGUUUUCAUUUUAAAAAAUAUUGAGGCUAAAUUCAUUAUAAACGAGAACGAAGACGAAUAUUUUAAAUAAAUAAAAAAAAAAGAUGAAGUAUAUUUUACAAAACUUAUUUUAAAAAAUGAAAUUAACUCCGUGAAAAUUAUUAAUUAAUUGUAAAAAUUUUGUUAAUAUUAGUCAUUUGUUAAAUAAAAAUUUAUAAUUAAAAAAUUAAAUGAAAAAAAAUUUUUUUUGUAACUUAAACAUUUCGAAGCUAAAAAUAAAAUAAUAUGGUAUUACACAAUAUUAUUUUAUCAUCAACUUUAUUGAUAGCAAUACAUUCUUAUAUGAUUUGAUGUUAAAAUGUAGGAGAGACAUUACAACAGUGAUCUACGGACACAUAUGAUUUUAUUUUUACAAAGCUUUGGGAUUGAAAAUGUAGCAACUGUAAGGAAAAGAGGAAAUCUUCAUUUUAUACGUUUUGGUUAAAAGUCUGUAUCCAAUUACAUUCCGAAGACAAGUUCAUUGGACCGUUCGUAAAACAAGUAAUAGAUACCAACUUUCUUAAUCAUGAAUGAUUCAGAAUAUUAAAUAAUUUGUAUGCUUAUAAAUUUUUUAAAAAUAGUGUAAAUACUAAAAAAAAAAAAAAAGAUAAUGCCAUCAUUAUGGAUUAUAAAUAAUUAUUAUAUUUAUU